rnacentral:rRNA from 1 species
GAUGAACGCUGGCGGCGUGCUUAACACAUGCAAGUCGAACGGAGAGCCUUUGAUUGAGGAUUCGUCCAAAUGAUAAGGUUUCUUAGUGGCGGACGGGUGAGUAACGCGUGAGGAACCUGCCUUGGAGUGGGGAAUAACAGUCCGAAAGGGCUGCUAAUACCGCAUGAUGCAGUUGGGUCGCAUGGCUCUGACUGCCAAAGAUUUAUCGCUCUGAGAUGGCCUCGCGUCUGAUUAGCUAGUUGGUGGGGUAAAGGCCCACCAAGGCGGCGAUCAGUAGCCGGACUGAGAGGUUGGCCGGCCACAUUGGGACUGAGACACGGCCCAGACUCCUACGGGAGGCAGCAGUGGGGAAUAUUGGGCAAUGGGCGCAAGCCUGACCCAGCAACGCCGCGUGAAGGAAGAAGGCUUUCGGGUUGUAAACUUCUUUUAUCAGGGACGAAGAA